rnacentral:rRNA from 1 species
GGUAUUUUGACCGUGCAAAGGUAGCAUAAUCCUUAGUUUUUUAAUUGAAAGCUGGAAUGAAAGGUUGGAUGAAAAAAAAGCUGUCUCUAUUUAAUUUAUUUAGAAUUUUAUUUUUAAGUUAAAAAGCUUAAAUUUAAAUAGAAGACGAGAAGACCCUAUAGAGUUUUAUUAAUUUUUUUUAUAGAAUUAAUAGUAUUUUUUAUUUUUAUAAAAAUUAUUAAUUUAGUUGGGGUGAUUGAAAAAUUAAAUUAACUUUUUUUUUAUGUUUACAUUAAUUUAUGAAUGCUUGAUCCUUAUUUUAAGAUUAAAAGAUAAAAUUACCUUAGGGAUAACAGCGUAAUUUUUUUUAAGAGUUCAAAUCGAAAGAAAAGAUUGCGACCUCGAUGUUGGAUUAAAAUAAAAUUUUGGUGUAGAAGCUAAAA